CCCUGCCCUUUGUACACACCGCCCGUCGCUACUACCGACUGAACGAGUUUAUGAGGUCCUUGGACUGGCUGGCGUGAACCUUCACGGGCUCAUAUCAGCUGGAAAAUUGAUCAAAUAUGCUCGUUUGG
rnacentral:rRNA from 1 species